rnacentral:rRNA from 1 species
CCCUUUGGGGUGUGACUGCGUACCUUUUGUAUAAUGGGUCAGCGACUUAUAUUCUGUAGCAAGGUUAACCGUAUAGGGGAGCCGUAGGGAAACCGAGUCUUAACCGGGCGUUAAGUUGCAGGGUAUAGACCCGAAACCCGGUGAUCUAGCCAUGGGCAGGUUGAAGGUUGGGUAACACUAACUGGAGGACCGAACCGACUAAUGUUGAAAAAUUAGCGGAUGACCUGUGGCUGGGGGUGAAAGGCCAAUCAAACCGGGAGAUAGCUGGUUCUCCCCGAAAGCUAUUUAGGUAGCGCCUCGUGAAUUCAUCUCCGGGGGUAGAGCACUGUUUCGGCUAGGGGGCCAUCCCGGCUUACCAACCCGAUGCAAACUGCGAAUACCGGAGAAUGUUAUCACGGGAGACACACGGCGGGUGCUAACGUCCGUCGUGAAGAGGGAAACAACCCAGACCGCCAGCUAAGGUCCCAAAGUCAUGGUUAAGUGGGAAACGAUGUGGGAAGGCCCAGACAGCCAGGAUGUUGGCUUAGAAGCAGCCAUCAUUUAAAGAAAGCGUAAUAGCUCACUGGUCGAGUCGGCCUGCGCGGAAGAUGUAACGGGGCUAAACCAUGCACCGAAGCUGCGGCAGCGACACUGUGUGUUGUUGGGUAGGGGAGCGUUCUGUAAGCCUGUGAAGGUGUGUCGUGAGGCAUGCUGGAGGUAUCAGAAGUGCGAAUGCUGACAUAAGUAACGAUAAAGCGGGUGAAAAGCCCGCUCGCCGGAAGACCAAGGGUUCCUGUCCAACGUUAAUCGGGGCAGGGUGAGUCGACCCCUAAGGCGAGGCCGAAAGGCGUAGUCGAUGGGAAACGGGUUAAUAUUCCCGUACUUGGUGUUACUGCGAAGGGGGGACGGAGAAGGCUAUGUUGGCCGGGCGACGGUUGUCCCGGUUUAAGCGUGUAGGUGUGUGUUCCAGGUAAAUCCGGUUCACUUUAACACUGAGGCGUGACGACGAGGCACUACGGUGCUGAAGCAACAAAUGCCCUGCUUCCAGGAAAAGCCUCUAAGCAUCAGGUAACAUCAAAUCGUACCCCAAACCGACACAGGUGGUCAGGUAGAGAAUACCAAGGCGCUUGAGAGAACUCGGGUGAAGGAACUAGGCAAAAUGGUGCCGUAACUUCGGGAGAAGGCACGCUGACACGUAGGUGAAGUGAUUUACUCAUGGAGCUGAAGUCAGUCGAAGAUACCAGCUGGCUGCAACUGUUUAUUAAAAACACAGCACUGUGCAAACACGAAAGUGGACGUAUACGGUGUGACGCCUGCCCGGUGCCGGAAGGUUAAUUGAUGGGGUCAGCGCAAGCGAAGCUCCUGAUCGAAGCCCCGGUAAACGGCGGCCGUAACUAUAACGGUCCUAAGGUAGCGAAAUUCCUUGUCGGGUAAGUUCCGACCUGCACGAAUGGCGUAAUGAUGGCCAGGCUGUCUCCACCCGAGACUCAGUGAAAUUGAACUCGCUGUGAAGAUGCAGUGUACCCGCGGCAAGACGGAAAGACCCCGUGAACCUUUACUAUAGCUUGACACUGAACAUUGAGCCUUGAUGUGUAGGAUAGGUGGGAGGCUUUGAAGUGUGGACGCCAGUCUGCAUGGAGCCGACCUUGAAAUACCACCCUUUAAUGUUUGAUGUUCUAACGUGGACCCGUUA